UUCUGAUUUGAAGUGUUCCAUACUUGUUGAAUAGCCUUUUAAUAAAAAGUUUCUAAAUAUUCUAGUCACAUAUCUUCUUUCCUAGGAUAUGAUCAGGUUAUGGUGCCCUCCAUUUCUUGCCAUUCUUUUCACGGUUGCAUAGCUCACUCUCGCUUUCUACGAUAGCAGUCUUCUGAACGAGAGUCGUAUAAUUGUUAAGUUCAAAAUAGCUACGCUGCUCAGGAUCCAGGGUUUCAAUACUUGUUGAAAACGUCGGGCUCUCUUUUCAUUAGUAUCAACAUAGUGUUGUACGAACCUCGCAAGUUAUGUAAAUUUAGCUUCAUAAUCAGAAUCUAAGUUACAUGAUUCUCAUAGUAUUUAGGAAAAUGUUUCUAUAGGAACAAUUUCGUAAAGCAUUCCCACGUCAUAAAACUAGUCCCUUCUAGACCCAUUUUAGCGUCCAAUAGUUAGCUUACAUGUUUAACACAUAUAUUGCCAAAUAGAGUUUUCCUUAUCAUCCUCAACUCCCACAAUCUCAAAA
rnacentral:lncRNA from 1 species